GUGCUGCAUGGCUGUCGUCAGCUCGUGUUGUGAAAUGUUGGGUUAAGUCCCGCAACGAGCGCAACCCUUAUCCUUUGUUGCCAGCGGUCCGGCCGGGAACUCAAAGGAGACUGCCAGUGAUAAACUGGAGGAAGGUGGGGAUGACGUCAAGUCAUCAUGGCCCUUACGACCAGGGCUACACACGUGCUACAAUGGCAUAUACAAAGAGAAGCGACCUCGCGAGAGCAAGCGGACCUCAUAAAGUAUGUCGUAGUCCGGAUUGGAGUCUGCAACUCGACUCCAUGAAGUCGGAAUCGCUAGUAAUCGUAGAUCAGAAUGCUACGGUGAAUACGUUCCCGGGCCUUGUACACACCGCCCGUCACACCAUGGGAGUGGGUUGCAAAAGAAGUAGGUAGCUUAACCUUCGGGAGGGCGCUUACCACUUUGUGAUUCAUGACUGGGGUGAAGUCGUAACAAGGUAACCGUAGGGGAACCUGCGGUUGGAUCACCUCCUUACCUUAAAGAA
rnacentral:rRNA from 1 species